GAUGAACGCUGGCGGCGUGCCUAAUACAUGCAAGUCGAGCGAAUGGAUUAAGAGCUUGCUCUUAUGAAAUUAGCGGCGGACGGGUGAGUAACACGUGGGUAACCUGCCCAUAAGACUGGGAUAACUCCGGGAAACCGGGGCUAAUACCGGAUAACAUUUUGAACCGCAUGGUUCGAAAUUGAAAGGCGGCUUCGGCUGUCACUUAUGGAUGGACCCGCGUCGCAUUAGCUAGUUGAUGAGGUAACGGCUCACCAAGGCAACGAUGCGUAGCCGGCCUGAGAGGGUGAUCGGCCACACUGGGACUGAGACACGGCCCAGACUCCUACGGGAGGCAGCAGUAGGGAAUCUUCCGCAAUGGACGAAAGUCUGACGGGGCAACGCCGCGUGAGUGAUGAAGGCUUUCGGGUCGUAAAACUCUGUUGUUAGGGAAGAACAAGUGCUAGUUGAAUAAGCUGGCACCUUGACGGUACCUAACCAGAAAGCCACGGCUAACUACGUGCCAGCCGCCGCCGUAA
rnacentral:rRNA from 1 species